GGGGUUGUGGCUCAGUAGUAGAGCACUUGCCUGGCAUGCAUGAGGCACUGGCUUUGAUUCUCAGUACCA
rnacentral:tRNA from 1 species